AGAGACAUGACUGAGUGGCGGACGGGUGAGUAACGCGUGGGUAACCUGCCUUACACAGGGGGAUAACAGAUAGAAAUGUCUGCUAAAACCGCAUAAUACAAGAGAGACGCCUGUCUUUUUUGUCAAAUAUUUAUAGGUGUAAGAUGGGCCCGCGUCUGAUUAGCUAGUUGGUGAGGUAAUGGCUCACCAAGGCGACGAUCAGUAGCCGGCUUGAGAGAGUGAUCGGCCACAUUGGGACUGAGACACGGCCCAAACUCCUACGGGAGGCAGCAGUGGGGGAUAUUGCACAAUGGGGGAAACCCUGAUGCAGCGACGCCGCGUGAGUGAAGAAGUAUUUCGGUAUGUAAAGCUCUAUCAGCAGGGAAGAUAAUGACGGUACCUGACUAAGAAGCCCCGGCUAACUACGUGCCAGCAGCCGCGGUAAUACGUAGGGGGCAAGCGUUAUCCGGAUUUACUGGGUGUAAAGGGAGUGUAGGCGGUUCUGUAAGUCCGAUGUGAAAACCCAGGGCUCAACCCUGGGAUUGCAUUUGAAACU
rnacentral:rRNA from 1 species